UAUUAUCAUUAUUAUCAUUAUAUAUUUUUGUUAUUGUUUCCUUAUUAUUUUGUUCUUUUGUGUAAGUGUGUGUGUGUUGUACAGAGCUGUUUUGGUGAUGAUUACUAUUAUUAUAAUCAGUAGUAGUAAUAGUAGACACGUUUUUAUAUUAAUAUUACUACUAUUAUUGAAUUAGAAUUGCAAACUCAUAUUUUUAUUUAAUUGGGAAUAUUAUUCAGUAAUUAAUUAAUUCAGCUACAGAUACACAAUUAUUCUGGGUUUGAAUAGAAUGAUUUGUUAUUAUACCAUAAUUAUCCCAAAAAAUAUAAUGACUUUCUUUAUUGUUACUUUGAAUGUCAAAUAUUUAAGCAAAGCUGCGUCUGUAAACACCAUCAAGAUUACACUUCCUUAAAUCAGUUCUUCCUCUUCCUGCUCAGAGGUAACAGACCUUUAGAGCAAGGACAGGAAUGUUGGUAGAGAGUCAGAAAGACUCAUUCACACAUUCAACAAGCAUAGAGAUGGGAAAAGAUUUUACUCAACAGACUGAGUGGAAAACUACAGGAAGAUGACAGAAAGGAAGUUAAAAAGUUUAAAUCACAACAUUUAUUAAUAAAAAAAAGUUAAUUUAGUUAAAAUAAAAAUGAUAGCAGUGGUCUUUAAGUAGAAAUCAUCCCAUCAAAUACUAAAUUAACCUCUGUCGGGCUCCACUUCGUAGGGUGUUACAGUGGUUUAACUGUAUUAGUUUAAUCAAUUAAUGGUUAUCAAAGUUUAUAAUUAUCAAAAGAUAAUAGAAAAUGACUUUAAUUAAUCUUAAAGAUCCUCGGGGCACCACCCUUAAAUAAGGGAAACGAUAUAUAUAUAUAAACAUAAGCAUUUAUUAAAGGAACAAUAAAGGCAAACAGAGGAAAAUACACUGUAUACAGUACAAUCUAACUUAAAGGAACUAAGCUAGAGGAAAAGGUCUGUCUGUGUGUACGCGUAUUGGGGGUUGCGCGACAGAAAAGGUGUGUGUCCUUUGUCCUCUGACCAGAUGUUUCAGGGUAUGAAACACGUGUUGGUGAGAGACAAAGAGUAUGGAGGAGCGGGAGGGUUUGAGUCCCUCUCCUCGUGUGUGUGCUGAGGUUUAGGCCAAAUAUGUGUGUGUGAUCUUAGAUUAACGGUGCCGUUAAAAGGAGUUAGUUGCAUGCAAAGACAGUGUCUGUGUGAAGCAUAACAUUAAACUAACAUCACCUUGUUGAGUUAUCUGUCUAUGCCCAUUAUGUUACCGACAGUCCAAAGGACGAUGAAGAAGAUUUGCCGGUGCUGCGUGGAUCAGCUGGAGAUUCUGUGAGCCAGGCUGAUCAGAAUUGUGGUUCCAAACUGUCUCUGUGUCCUGUCUGGCUCAGGUAGCAAGAGGAAAGGCGUUUUGCUCGUUGCUCUGCAGAGUUAACGACUCGGUGUUUACGUUGCGUUGCUCAGGUAAAGUCGGCUGGCAGACUCUUUUUAAAGCUGCAGAUGUUGACAGCGGUGCGCUGGCCAGGGAUCGCAGGAAAAAGCAGGCUCUUGUGCCGUGCUAUAAUCCUUUGUCGUGCGUUGGUGGCGGGUCGGGCCACGCUGAGGUCCAAAACAUAUCACCCGUGUGUGCGAGCGAGAUGAGCGAGGAGCAAAGGGAAGAGAGAAGAGAGAGAAGAGGAGAGUCUCUCGGGUAUAAUUACCUGGGAUGACAGGUCUGGGGUCCGAGGGAAUCUGACCAAUGAAGGGCCGGUGUUUAGGCUUUUAUUGCUUUCAUGCCACACCUUGGCCGCAUUCUUGGCCCCCCGCUGAGGGGUUUGUGAUCUGGCGGGCCCUUUUUCUUUGUCUUCAGUCACUAUGAGCAGGCUUUAUUGCUUACAUAAGGGCCUCACUGUAGUAAUGACCAUUUCUUUGUUUAAGCACGGCAUGGCAGGGCACAUGGCCAGAUCCCAACACCCCCAACCUCAAAAUUACAUUAAAUCCAUAGAUACAUUUACUUAAAUUAGACAAUUAAACAGUAAAACUUAAUUUUGUGAUAAUGUCCAGCUGGCCGAAAGCAGAUCAGGGAUUUAAUGCUAGAGGCAUCUGUAAAGUGUUGAAAUAUGCAACUAGGAGGGGAACAAAAACAAGCUGAGACACAUUGGAAGCUCAGCUCAUCAGUACUGUUCAGAGAACUUGUCUGGUGUGAUUCUUAGAAGUCAAAGUGGGACAGGUUUCAUCAACAGGUGUUAUAUUAGUCUAGUUUCAGUCAGACUGGCCAGAAUAAUGUCCCUUACAGGGAGAGUCUGGGAAGGUCUAAAUUACAUUAUAAUCCCUUCACACUUUGGCAAGACAAAGAAAUCAAUACAAAUUGCUUCACGUAGCCAUUACUGAAAAAAACAUUUCAUUGUCCCAGGCUCCUUUUAAUCAUUUCAAUAACUUUUAAUCAUUUUGAAGUUUUGUUUGUUUUGUAAAAAUAAUUUUACAAAUCAAACAAUCAAUUGGAUAAUGGAGAAAAUCCAGUCCAAUCCAAUCAAAAUGAGUUAGUAUUAGUUGCAGUCCUAUACAAAGUAGAUUUAGAAUGAGCUCCACAUCAACAAACUACAACAGUAAAAUCUUGCUUUUACAUUACUGAUUUAUAGAAUGAUAUCACAUAUAAUAGUAUUUUUCUGCAUUGAGUACUUUUACUUUUAAUACUUUAAGUAAUUAUUCUGAUUACACUUUUACAUUCUCAAGUAACAUUUUAAAUGCAGUACUUUCACAUUUGAGUAAGGGUAUAUUUACGGAGGUAUUAGUGUUUGUACUUGUGCCAAAAGGAGGGAGACCAUGUUGGCGUGACAGUCAAAUGGAAUGUGUCCAGAUAAAUCUCCUUCUGACCUUCAGUCCUCCUCCUCCUCCGCUUUUGUUUGCCGGAAUGAAUCAUACAGUAUGUGGGUUAAUGGUGAUAACAGUGUGUAGUGGUUUUAUGAAUGAAUCCGCAGUAAACAUUGUGGCAUCAGUGACGACUACCGCAACCCAGAAAUAAACGUCUCCUCCUUCUCCUCCACGCUGAAUAAUGACCUUUAUCUGGACACAUGUGGAUGACUAAGGAAUUAUUUUCACACAGCCUCUGUAGAAAUGUGUGGUUUUUGAAGCAAAUGUGGAUUACAUGAUAUGAUUUUAAAUUAAUGGGGAAAACAGAGAUGAGUCCUAAACUCAUGUGUCUUUCCAGAAACAGUUACUCUGCAGUAUUUUCUGCCAAAGCAGUUUCUCCUCUAUGUGCAGAUACAACAGAUUUCAGUUGUGCUUAAGGAGAUGCACAAGAUGUUUUCUUUGUUUUUUAAUGUUAAUUUUGAAAGAACAUUAGUGCCUGUCCUAAAUGAAAUGUGUCUUUGUUUGAAGAAUAGAAAUGGGGACAUGGACUGGGUCAGACUUCAGCCAGUUGGACUAUGUCCAUCUGUUAAAUAAUCUGAUGCUCCACCAGGUCAUUUGCAGGUUUUUCUUCCAAACACUUGACAUUGCAGAUGCUGAUUUCAACCUGACAGAGAAGGAACUGAGCUGCAAACAGUUUGUCUUCACCAAAGCUCAGGUCCUACUGUUUUAGUUUCUUCUGUUAUCAUAAAAGUUUACCUUAGCCUUUUGAACUCCAUAGUUAUGUCUGCAAAUGAUGACUUAUGACUUCUUAAAUUGUCUUGUUUUGUCUGACUUACAGACAAAAACCCACACCCAGGGGACCCAAGAACCUUUUGAGGAAACAAGGAGUUAAACCUGUGUUUGGACUAAACUGGGGGCUAAAUGUAGUUCCUGUAGUUAGUGUAGUAGUAGUAGUCCACUGGAAAUUAAUGAGUAAAACCUGUUUCUUCACUGUUUGCUCAUAAUGAAAAAUAAGCCAAGGAAUGCAUCAAGCAUGACACUGCAGUAAAAAGAAGUGCCCAGCCAGUCUUAUCUUCAGAUGAUCCAAGUGAUUGCUGUGAAGCCAUCAGCAGACCUUUAAGAGCUUCGUUAAGAGGCUGCAUGUGAGGAGAUGUAAACCAAUGAUGAAGUAAACGACUAAUGACGUCGAUGUUUACUGUCUGUUGUGGACGGAGCUGCUCUCACAGCCACAUUUGGGCAAGUUUACAUGCAUAUUUGGACGGUGAAACGAUGCUCUGGUUCCUGUCAAAGCUUGUUAUCAGUUGUUUGACUUUUACUGCUCUCUGUGGAUGACCUGCAGGAGUUUCUGUCUUCUCCUGGACUCUCCUUCAAUUCUGCGUCUCUCUUUUAAGUUACUAUAGUUGCUAACUUUGUGAUACAUUGUAUUGGCCCAAGACAUCUCGGAUUAUAAUUUGUCUUGACCCUUAACUUCCUUCUUCUUUGCAAAUGUAAAAAAUAAAUACUGACACAUGUAUUGCUUGUCAAAGUAUGCUUAACAGUGCAGCUAACUUCAAUCAUUAUUUUGUUCAGUUCAAUCACACUGACUCCCCUCUCAAGCUUGGAAGAGUUACAAACAUUUUUCUCGAGGCUCACCAUCUUAAAAUAGAACCAAUGACAAUAACUUCUGCAGGUUAAACUGGGGUUACUGGACACUUUUGGGGCAAACAACCCAUAAUAUAACACUCUUUAAAGGUUAUUGACUCAGUAACAAAAGAUGUGGCUCUUGCUCCAUUCGAAGAGAACAAUAGCAAAAAUUGAAGUUAAGAGAUAAGAAUACUGUAAAAAAAAUCAUCCAUAUAGGGAGCAAAUCAAUUCGCUGAUUAUUCAUUUGCUGCAAAUGCCAGGAGAUUGGCUAAGGAGUGUUCCUGCACAAAAGAAAGUACCAAAAAACACAUGCUGUUUGGAUCCAAGGACACAUCAUGAGACCAAAAAAGAAGAGAGUGCAGAUGGCAUCAUAUAUUAGAACAACAGUUUUGUCCUUAACAAGAAAAGCAUGCUGCUGGUAUACGAGACAUCAAAAUGAAUUCAAACUAAUACACAAAGUGUUUCCUUUCACAUGUUUUUUUCUUCAUCACUGUUCUUUUUCUCUUCAGUUUAUGAUGAUAAGAACAAAUAUUCUCCAUUUCUCAUGCAAGUCAAAUUUUACAACAAAAACAAUAUACAUAUAUAUACACAAAUACAGAACAAAGUAAAAGAUACACAUGAGAACACACAGCUACAUACAUAUUGAAUCAUGCAAAUAUUCCACAGGCUGGAAACAUGUUUUUACACAAUAAAUUCACAGUAAAAUACUACUGUUGCAAAUGCC